GCGGGGGUAAUUCAGUGGUAGAAUUUCAGCUUCCCAAGCUGAGCACGCGGGUUCGAUUCCCGUCCCCCGCUCCA
rnacentral:tRNA from 1 species